UACGUAGGGCGCAAGCGUGGUCCGGAAUUAUUGGGCGUAAAGAGCUCGUAGGCGGUUUGUCGCGUCGGAUGUGAAAGCCCGGGGCUUAACCCCGGGUCUGCAUUCGAUACGGGCAGACUGGAGUGUGGUAGGGGAGAUCGGAAUUCCUGGUGUAGCGGUGAAAUGCGCAGAUAUCAGGAGGAACACCGGUGGCGAAGGCGGAUCUCUGGGCAUUAACUGACGCUGAGGAGCGAAAGCAUGGGGAGCGAACAGG
rnacentral:rRNA from 1 species